GAUGAACGCUGGUGGCGUGCUUAACACAUGCAAGUCGAACGGUGAAGCCAAGCUUGCUUGGUGGAUCAGUGGCGAACGGGUGAGUAACACGUGAGCAACCUGCCCUGGACUCUGGGAUAAGCGCUGGAAACGGCGUCUAAUACUGGAUAUGAGGCGUGAUCGCAUGGUCAACGUCUGGAAAGAUUUUUCGGUCUGGGAUGGGCUCGCGGCCUAUCAGCUUGUUGGUGAGGUAAUGGCUCACCAAGGCGUCGACGGGUAGCCGGCCUGAGAGGGUGACCGGCCACACUGGGACUGAGACACGGCCCAGACUCCUACGGGAGGCAGCAGUGGGGAAUAUUGCACAAUGGGCGGAAGCCUGAUGCAGCAACCGCCGCGUGAGGGAUGACGGCCUUCGGGUUGUAAACCUCUUUUAGCAGGGAAGAAGCGAAAGUGACGGUACCUGCAGAAAAAGCGCCGGCUAACUACGUGCCAGCAGCCGCGGUAAUACGUAGGGCGCAAGCGUUAUCCGGAAUUAUUGGGCGUAAAGAGCUCGUAGGCGGUUUGUCGCGUCUGCUGUGAAAUCCCGAGGCUCAACCUCGGGCCUGCAGUGGGUACGGGCAGACUAGAGUGCGGUAGGGGAGAUUGGAAUUCCUGGUGUAGCGGUGGAAUGCGCCGAUAUCAAGAGGAACACCGAUGGCGAAGGCAGAUCUCUGGGCCGUAACUGACGCUGAGGAGCGAAAGGGUGGGGAGCAAACAGGCUUAGAUACCCUGGUAGUCCACCCCGUAAACGUUGGGAACUAGUUGUGGGGACCAUUCCACGGUUUCCGUGACGCAGCUAACGCAUUAAGUUCCCCGCCUGGGGAGUACGGCCGCAAGGCUAAAACUCAAAGGAAUUGACGGGGACCCGCACAAGCGGCGGAGCAUGCGGAUUAAUUCGAUGCAACGCGAAGAACCUUACCAAGGCUUGACAUACACCAGAACGGGCCAGAAAUGGUCAACUCUUUGGACACUGGUGAACAGGUGGUGCAUGGUUGUCGUCAGCUCGUGUCGUGAGAUGUUGGGUUAAGUCCCGCAACGAGCGCAACCCUCGUUCUAUGUUGCCAGCACGUAAUGGUGGGAAC
rnacentral:rRNA from 1 species